GACGGGGGAUGCAAGCGUUAUCCGGAAUCACUGGGCGUAAAGCGUCUGUAGGUGGUGAUGCAAGUCACUGGUGCAAAACUCUGGCUCAACCGGAGGAAAGCCAGUGAAACUGCAUGACUAGAGUGUGGGAGAGGUAGAAGGAAUUCCCUGAGUAGCGGUGAAAUGCGUAGAUACAGGGAAGAACACCGGAGGCGAAAGCGUUCUACUGGAACACAACUGACCCUGAGAGACGAAAGCUAGUGUAGCGAUUGGG
rnacentral:rRNA from 1 species